UAGGGAAUCUUCGGCAAUGGACGGAAGUCUGACCGAGCAACGCCGCGUGAGUGAAGAAGGUUUUCGGAUCGUAAAGCUCUGUUGUUAGAGAAGAACGUUGGUAGGAGUGGAAAAUCUACCAAGUGACGGUAACUAACCAGAAAGGGACGGCUAACUACGUGCCAGCAGCCGCGGUAAUACGUAGGUCCCGAGCGUUGUCCGGAUUUAUUGGGCGUAAAGCGAGCGCAGGCGGUUCUUUAAGUCUGAAGUUAAAGGCAGUGGCUUAACCAUUAUACGCUUUGGAAACUGGAGGACUUGAGUGCAGAAGGGGAGAGUGGAGUUCCAUGUGUAGCGGUGAAAUGCGUAGAUAUAUGGAGGAACACCGGUGGCGAAAGCGGCUCUCUGGUCUGUAACUGACGCUGAGGCUCGAAAGCGUGGGGAGCAAACAGG
rnacentral:rRNA from 1 species